AAAUUGAGGGACCAGUUUUCGAUAAGAAAAGAAAGAGAAGAGAAGGAGAUCGAAGAAGAAAAGGAAGAAGGGAGAAGCUUCCAUCGGCGUCAAUGGUGGAAUGGUGAAGGAGGCUCGGCUAAGCGUGGUGGCGACGGCGGGAGGCAGAGGAGGCACCAGUGAGUACAGCGGCAGUUGUGGCAGCAUCUGUGAGCGCCGAGGGGCCGUGAAAAGUGGAAAAGAAGGCAGCCGCUCUCUAACGCCGUUCCUGGCAUUUCUGGCGUCCAAUGGCGGCGGUUUUGGUCUUAAAAUGACCGGCGACUUGAGGGCUUUCAAGUAGGGGCAGCAAUGUCGGCAAUGGUGACCGAAGAAGAGAGUUUUAGCAAAGUGAAGGCAGCCGAGUUUUUGGACUUUUCCGGCCAUCUCCGACAAGUUAUGGCCUAUCGGAGUUCAUGGAUGAACUUCCCUCAGCUCAAGCUUUCCAAUGGCACUGAUUUUGUAGCGACCGAACUCCGUUUAAAAAUCGAUGGUCGAAACUGUCUGUGAUUUUCUUCGAAUGAUCAGGGACUGGAUCGAAGAAUCAGAUGCUAGAAUCAUCGCCUGCGUAUUAUUUCAAGUCCGUAGGCACGCUCGGAUCGUUGAUCGGACUCUGGCAGUUGAAGGCGAGUCGUCCGAUUUAUCAAGCGUCUCGAUAAUCCAUCAUUUCAACUCGCUCCACCUGAGGCAUAGGAGCAGAGCAAGAGAGUCGUCAGAACUGUGUUUGAUAGUUUCCGUAGUUCUUUUUCUCUAGCAGCCCGGCUUCCUUCAUCUUUAGGUUUAAUGUAACUGAUUUUAUUGGUAAUGUUUGAUUUUUAAAUUCUAGAUUCUCCGCAGUAGUAAUUUCAAAACUUAUCAUUUUGUAAUGGCAUGUUAAUUCAGGUAUUGCCUAAUUAUACUGGCAGACUGGAUUAAAUAUGUAGUAUCUGGGUGGUUGAAAGUUAGUUAUGGAAUAGUGUUAUAAUGGAUAGAAUUUGGAUUAUAA